rnacentral:rRNA from 1 species
UGCAAGUUGAACGGAAAGGCCUUUUCGGAGGUACUCGAGUGGCGAACGGGUGAGUAACACGUGGGUGAUCUGCCCUGCACUCUGGGAUAAGCCUGGGAAACUGGGUCUAAUACCGGAUAGGACCGCACUUUAGUGUGUGUGGUGGAAAGUUUUUUCGGUGUAGGAUGAGCCCGCGGCCUAUCAGCUUGUUGGUGGGGUAAUGGCCUACCAAGGCGGCGACGGGUAGCCGGACUGAGAGGUUGGUCGGCCACAUUGGGACUGAGAUACGGCCCAGACUCCUACGGGAGGCAGCAGUGGGGAAUAUUGCACAAUGGGCGCAAGCCUGAUGCAGCGACGCCGCGUGGGGGAUGACGGCCUUCGGGUUGUAAACUCCUUUCGCCAGGGACGAAGCGUUUUGUGACGGUACCUGGAGAAGAAGCACCGGCUAACUACGUGCCAGCAGCCGCGGUAAUACGUAGGGUGCAAGCGUUGUCCGGAAUUACUGGGCGUAAAGAGCUCGUAGGUGGUUUGUCACGUCGUCUGUGAAAUUCCACAGCUUAACUGUGGGCGUGCAGGCGAUACGGGCUGACUUGAGUACUGUAGGGGUAACUGGAAUUCCUGGUGUAGCGGUGAAAUGCGCAGAUAUCAGGAGGAACACCGAUGGCGAAGGCAGGUUACUGGGCAGUUACUGACGCUGAGGAGCGAAAGCAUGGGU